CUUCCAGUCGUCCAGCAACUCUGUCGUGGAGGUUUACAACUGAUCACUGCUGUGCUGAACUGAGAGCGACGAAAUGACAGUGACGCAGUGAAGGGUUAACUUUGCUGCAGCACCUGGAGCUCGUAAGGAUUCAGUUUGUUGUCAAAGGAUAUUUCAACAAACUGCAUCAAGUAGGAAACAUGGUUGCUCAGAGACUUGGCACUUAAAUUAAAAGGUUACGGUGGAAAUCCACUUUGAGUCAGAGAAACUUCAGAAGAAAACAAACACCAACAAAAAACCAACCGGCUCUUAUCGAAGCCUGGAUCAUCCAGACCAUGUGACACACCAUGGAUUCAUUUAAAGACGAACUUCAAGGAACUGAAUCUGAAAGACAAGUACCUAGUUCCUCAUUUAAUAAUAUGUCACUCUUGGUGUGCAUGCACUGUAUGCAUGUACUUUAUUUCUCAGGUCACAAGCACAACAAACAGACAGCGACUUAUUCAUAGAGCUCUGCGCAGAAAACCAAACUUUGAGGCAUCUGAAAAGUCAUUAAAAAAGGCUGAGAGAAGCAGAUCAGACAGACAGAGAUAAAGAUGUCCGUGUGUAAAGAGGUAAAACAGACAGAGCUGAAAAUAACCUGAAUUAAAUACAGUUUUCUUUUUCAAAUUAAACAAAUCCAAUCCAAUUUAUUCAAAUCAUUUCUUUAGUCAAUAAUGAUAUUACCACACUAGG